rnacentral:tRNA from 1 species
GUUGUCAUAGCUCAACUGGUAGAGCAUAGCACUGUUAAUGCUAGUGUCUGGGUUCGAUCCCCGGUGACGGCG